CCUACGGGAGGCAGCAGUGAGGAAUAUUGGUCAAUGGCCGGAAGGCUGAACCAGCCAUGCCGCGUGAAGGUCAGUGCCCUAUGGGCGUUAAACUUCUUUUGUGCGGGAGCAAUAAUGGUCACGUGUGGCCAGACGAGAGUACCGUACGAAUAAGCAUCGGCUAACUCCGUGCCAGCAGCCGCGGUAAUACGGGGGAUGCAGGCGUUAUCCGGAUUUAUUGGGUUGAAAGGGUGCGUAGGCUGUGAGGUAAGUCAGCGUGGAAAUGCCCCCGCUCAACGGGGUGAAGUGCCAUUGAUACUGCCUUGCUGGAAUGCGGAUGCCGUGGGAGGAAUGUGUGGUGUAGCGGUGAAAUGCAUAGAUAUCACACAGAACACCGAUUGCGAAGGCAUCUCACGAAUCCGCGAUUGACGCUGAUGCACGAAAGCGUGGGUAUCAAACAGGAUUAGAUACCCGAGUAGUC
rnacentral:rRNA from 1 species